GGCCUUCCAAUGCUUACUACAGGCUGUGUUCUUUACACUAACUGUAUAAGAAAGAGGAGGUACAGUAAAUGCUCCUCAUAUAUACCUCAAACCAGGCCUUUUGCCUGGUGUGUAUUGUGAAUGGGAGGACAAAA